rnacentral:rRNA from 1 species
ACGUAGGAGGCAAACGUUAUCCGGAUUUACUGGGCGUAAAGCGCGUGUAGGUGGUUCUGUAAGUAGGGCGUGAAAGCUCCUGGCUCAACUGGGAGAGGCCGUUCUAAACUGCAGAGCUAGAGGAUGGUAGAGGGAGGUGGAAUUCCGGGUCUCGCGGUGGCAGGCGCACAUAUCCGGAGGAACACCCGCGGCGAAAGCAGCCUCCUGGACCAGUCCUGACACUCAGACGCGAAAGCUAGGUUAGCAAACGG